UCCGUAGGUGAACCUGCGGAGGGAUCAUUACCGAGUUUUCAACUCCCAAACCCUUAUGUGAACCUACCUAUCGUUGCUUCGGCGGACUCGCCCCAGCCGGACGCGGACUGGACCAGCGGCCGCCGGGGACCAUCAAACUCUUGUAUUAUCAGCAUCUUCUGAAUACGCCGCAAGGCAAAACAAAUAAAUUAAAACUUUCAACAACGGAUCUCUUGGCUCUGGCAUCGAUGAAGAACGCAGCGAAAUGCGAUAAGUAAUGUGAAUUGCAGAAUCCAGUGAAUCAUCGAAUCUUUGAACGCACAUUGCGCCCGCCAGCAUUCUGGCGGGCAUGCCUGUUCGAGCGUCAUUUCAACCCUCGACCUCCCUUUGGGGAAGUCGGCGUUGGGGACCGGCAGCACACCGCCGGCCCUGAAAUGGAGUGGCGGCCCGUCCGCGGCGACCUCUGCGUAGUAAACCAACUCGCACCGGAACCCCGACGUGGCCACGCCGUAAAACACCCAACUUCUGAACGUUGACCUCGAAUCAGGUAGGACUACCCGCUGAACUUAAGCAUAUCAAUAAGGCGGGAGGGGAAGGUCGGACUGGCCAAGGGCACACAGGGGGGGAUA
rnacentral:rRNA from 1 species